rnacentral:rRNA from 1 species
GAUGAACGCUGGCGGCGUGCCUAAUACAUGCGAGUAGAACGCUGAAGGAAGGAGCUUGCUCUUUCCGGAUGAGUUGCGAACGGGUGAGUAACGCGUAGGUAACCUGCCUGGUAGCGGGGGAUAACUAUUGGAAACGAUAGCUAAUACCGCAUAACAGUAGAUGUUGCAUGAUAUCUACUUAAAAGGUGCAAUUGCACCACUACCAGAUGGACCUGCGUUGUAUUAGCUAGUUGGUGAGGUAACGGCUCACCAAGGCGACGAUACAUAGCCGACCUGAGAGGGUGAUCGGCCACACUGGGACUGAGACACGGCCCCGACUCCUACGGGAGGCAGCAGUAGGGAAUCUUCGGCAAUGGACGGAAGUCUGGCCGAGCAACGCCGCGUGAGUGAAGAAGGUUUUCGGAUCGUAAAGCUCUGUUGUAAGAGAAGAACGAGUGUGAGAGUGGAAAGUUCACACUGUGACGGUAUCUUACCAGAAAGGGACGGCUAACUACGUGC